UCCGGAGUAGCUCAAUGGUAGAGCAGCUCGCUGUUAACGAGACGGUUCCUGGUUCGAGUCCAGGCUCCGGAGCCA
rnacentral:tRNA from 1 species